AAUCUGGAGCCCGGCUAUGCAGGUCAGUCAUUUGCAGCUCAUGAGUCAAAACAAGUCCGCUGCUCCAGCAUGGAUGCUGAUAAUCUUUGUGUCCAUUUUGGUAGAUACGCUAGCCUGACCAGAGCCAUCCACCAGAAUGAUUGACGUGAGCAGUUUCUUAGGGCGGCAAAACAGCCCUGCUUGCUUUGUCCCUGCCAGUGCCUUGGAAAGUCAACUUCUUGCUGCCGAGAAAGGCAGAGAGCUGUGGGAGCAGUAGAUAUUGUUUGACCAACAUGGGGAAACAUAUCCCCUCCAGUCCUAGUUCUGCAUGCAGUACCAGCAGAUGGGAAGACUGAAGUGUGGAGCGCCGACAACAAAUGAGUCCCUCACUGCUGUAGUCAAGAAAAGAGCCCAGACCACCCGAGUCACGUCUGUGCUUUCACCUUGACACACGGUGAUGGGCACUGCGUGAAGAGGUCCAAACUAGAAGCCUGGUUGCCCCAUGGCUAUUGCCUAUAGGCACCGGCAGGAGAGAGUGGUCCCUCAAGGGACAGCAGAGCCCACUGG